rnacentral:rRNA from 1 species
CAGUCGCCACGGGAAUACGUAGGUGGCGAGCGUUGUCCGGAAUCAUUGGGCGUAAAGGGAGCGCAGGCGGGCAUGUAAGUCUUUCUUAAAAGUUCGGGGCUCAACCCCGUGAUGGGAAAGAAACUACAUGUCUUGAGUACAGGAGAGGAAAGCGGAAUUCCCAGUGUAGCGGUGAAAUGCGUAGAUAUUGGGAGGAACACCAGUGGCGAAGGCGGCUUUCUGGACUGCAACUGACGCUGAGGCUCGAAAGCCAGGGGAGCGAACGGGAUUAGAUACCCCCGUAGUCCCUGUCUCUUAUACC